rnacentral:lncRNA from 1 species
GUUGGAACUGUAACUUGAAUUGUGUCUACUUUGUAAUGUGCAUGAGGAUAAAUGUGACUAUUUGGCUUCAACUGGUUUGGUGAAAAAGCAAGGGCAAGAGAGUGUCGUCUUAUGUUGAAGCAGAGAUGACUACAGCACAACACUUGUCAACUGUCUAUGCCUCUGAAUCAUGUGGGCUAAUGCUAUGCUGUAGAGAGCGCCGUUGUCUUUUUAUACAAAACAGAUUGGAGAUGAAGCUCAUGUUCUGGUGCAUACUUAAGUUCCAGUUCUUUGUCUGGAGCAUCCUGGGCUGUUGUAAGAACAGCCUACUAAGCAUGUAGUCCUGCUUAUCAGUGUGAGUGUUUAAAAAAAAAAAAAAAAAAAAAAAAAUCUCUGAGUCAUUGACAGACCUGGAAUAUUUAGGCAUGGCCAUGGAUAUUUUUUCUCUGAUGUCAUCUGUUUGAUUCUGCUAAUGAGAAACAAUUCUCAAGCUAUCUCUCAGUGCAGCUGGACACUUUUUUUCUCUCCUGGAUUGUACAGUGAUUCUGCUUGCUUUGUUCCAAAGGUUGGCCAAGGUUUUGAUGACAGCAUCUAACCAGGUGACUGCAUACAACUCGUGGGCAUAUAACCAAGCAUUCUUCUCAUUGCUUGUAUCAGAUGAUCAAAACUGAAGGAACCUCAAACCGUCUUGGACUGAACACUGAAAAACCAUGUGACAAGUGCUUUUCUUCCUGAUGGUGGCACAGUCCCUUUGACUUCCCAGAUGUUCACGCAUGGCGGCAUGUUGGGCUGCAAGGAAAUACUCAUUUUCAACCUAUGUUAUGAGAAGGCUGAAAUCUCUGGUGGCUGGAUAACCUAGCGGCAGGAGGCUGUUCACCUCAUGACAGCUGCUGACUAUGAGAGGCCCUGCAAUUGGUAGUUCCCACCUCAUGUUCUUUGGUAGUGACUCAUGGCCAACUGCAAGAAGAGAUGAAGAGAAAGGUCAGCUUGAUCCCUGCAACAGCUGGCAUACACUGCCCAGUCCUCAGAGACCCUUUCCGCUUACCUAGGCUGGAAAGGAGAGGUAGGCCUCAGGCAGAAGCUCUUGUCUCACUGGAGGAAGAGGGAGGAGGGGAGGACAUGACUUUCUUCGUGAGGACCCUCUGUCCUGUGGGACCUGAUUAGUUGGCUGUUCAUCCCAAGCUCUUCUUGAGUCUCAUUCCUCCAAGAAAAAUGAGGAAAACGUUUUCUCUGCCCAUAUUGGAGAUACUUUGUUCACACGUGUUUGGCCCAGGAAUAAUGCUAUGAAGCAAGUAGCUGAGGAGAACUGCAGUCCUUCCUUCAAAAGGGUGUUGUCAUAUUGACAGUAGGACUUACCUACUACAAGGUUAAUACACAGUGUUCUAAUUGCCCUGGAUUAGUUGGCUCCUGAUCUUCUUUCACUGGUGACUACUAGACAUUAACCUCUCAUUCGUACUUAGAACCAUUAUCUUCAAUCUGUAGAGUUAGUUCGAUGGAGGAAGAAGCAGUACCAUUAUGAGACAAGAAAAAAACCCACCAUCCUUGCUCAGCUUUAUUACCAGCACCUACCAAAGGAUGACCAGCACUAUGGUGGGAUGACUGUUUGGUAUGCUAGGGUGAACAUGCACAGGACUGAUAAUUUGUACAAAGGGUGGAGAGGAAAUCACCUCCUUGUUCUUGGUGUUGGACUCGUUUGAUAAUAUCCUGUGACUGUUAGCAGCUUUGGAGGAUCCCAUGUCAACAUGUUGUCCAUAAGCUAUUAGUUGGGGGACCUCUGAAACUUGAUGAAACGAUUUUUGUUGUUCCAGUCAAUGAGCUUUGUGUGGCUGUAAUUCUCUAAAACUUUCUUUUGCACUUUUUCUGCAUAUGUCCACAUUUUUUAGAAAAACAGCAUAUUUAUUUUAAUUUACAUGUCAGUAACCUGUUGAUAUUAGGACCUCAGGUAUCUGUAUAGGAGAUGGCAGACACUGCCCUGUACAGCCUACCAGGGAAACAAGAACUUCAGAGAGUACAGAAGGUAGGAAUGAUACACAUGCUCCUUUGAAAUUGGCAUCUGGAGCCCACAAAUAGCUCAUACUGGAAACCACUCAAAAUUUCUCUUUGAAAUACCAUUUCAAAGUCAAUUGUCUUUCUGUGUUUCCCUAAAGGAAAAACAGAAGUGGUGUGCUGCAGUUGAUGUUUACCUCUUGUUUCAAUAAGACUGAUUUU